CCUGGCAGGCAUGAGGUAUGAUGGCCCUUGUGAUUUCUUUAAUAAUUCUCUAGUUUCAAUGCUCAAUUGAUUUUCUUUAGUGUUUAUUCUUAUUGUUUGUCUGCCUAUCAGAAAGAUGAUCUAAAUACAGUGGUUUCUUUUCUACGGAGCAACCAGCAAAUUUCAUGCAUAGGGCUUUGGGGACGAUUAAUGGGUGCCGUCACGAGAUUUCAGGUACAAUUCCUACAGAAUUAGGGAAUCUCAAGAAUUUGGUUGAGUUGACAUUGCAACGAAACAAUCUGACUGGUCUGAUUCCUCA